GACGAACGCUGGCGGCGUGCUUAACACAUGCAAGUCGAACGAAGAGCGAUGGAAGCUUGCUUCUAUCAAUCUUAGUGGCGAACGGGUGAGUAACGCGUAAUCAACCUGCCCUUCAGAGGGGGACAACAGUUGGAAACGACUUCUAAUACCGCAUACGAUCCGACCUCGGCAUCGAGGAUGGAUGAAAGGUGGCCUCUAUUUAUAAGCUAUCACUGAAGUAGGGGAUUGCGUCUGAUUAGCUAGUUGGGGGGGUAACGGCCCACCAAGGCAAUGAUCAGUAGCCGGUCUGAGAGGAUGAACGGCCACAUUGGGACUGAGACACGGCCCAGACUCCUACGGGAGGCAGGAGUGGGGAAUCUUCCGCAAUGGACGAAAGUCUGACGGGGCCACGCCGGGUGAGUGAUGACGGCCUUCGGGUUGUAAAGCUCCGUUAAUCGGGACGAAAGGUCUUCUUGCGAAUAGUUAGAAGAAUUGACGGUACCGGAAUAGAAAGCCACGGCUAACUACGUG
rnacentral:rRNA from 1 species